UACGUAGGUGGCUAGCGUUGUCCGGAUUUACUGGGCGUAAAGAGCGCGCAGGCGGUCGUUCAAGUCGAGUGUGAAAGCCCCCGGCUCAACUGGGGAGGGUCACUCGAUACUGAUCGACUCGAAGGCAGGAGAGGGAAGCGGAAUUCCCGGUGUAGUGGUGAAAUGCGUAGAUAUCGGGAGGAACGCCAGUGGCGAAGGCGGCUUUCUGGCCUGCUCUUGACGCUGAGGCGCGAAAGCUAGGGUAGCAAACGGG
rnacentral:rRNA from 1 species